rnacentral:lncRNA from 1 species
CUUCUCACACCGUUAAUAGGUAUGGUUGGUAACGAAGAAGGCCUAACUCGAUUGAAGUGUAAUGAUCUGUAUGUUAAGAUCCACUCAUGAUUUAUGACAAAUUUGUUUGUAGUCGUAUUAGUGUUUUGAUGGGAAAUUUGUUAAGAUCCACUUAUAAUUCAUGUUAUCAUUCUUUUGCUUGUUGUAGCUUAGGAUUUGUGUUAUUGCUAGAACUUUAUGUCCGUCUAUGUAAUGUUAUAUUUGAUAUUGAACUUAUUUACUAUUGAAAUUUAGUAUUUGUUGAAAUUUUAGUGAUUUCUUAAAUGGAUAGUCUUUUUGUUACUAUGGCUCUUGGUCUGUUUACGCCUUCUCACACCGUUAUCAGGUAUGGUUGGCAAUGAAGAAGGCCUAACUCGGUUGAAGCGUAACGAUCUAUUAUGCCACGUAAUAGAUUUCAUUCUUCUACUCUUUUUCGAAAGUUGAUUGGCAUAAAUAUAUUUGCAUUAUCAGUUGAGUACAUGUUAUGUUAAUCUUGAAAUUUAUUCUACUUUUGAGAUUUUAAGCUAGAAUUACUAGACGCUAGUGCAUAUAGCAUUCCACGUUCACACAUGAUUUGAAGAAAGGUCACACCCCAAUGUGACGUAACAUAGUUAGCAACAUUUCGCCUAUCCUAAUUCAAGUAUCAAUAACUGAUUCCACGGCUCGACUCUGUGACCUAUAGAUCAUAACUUAUGAUUUCUCCAAGUUUACACAAUCUUCUAAUUCUUCAAUUUCAAUAUCUACAGAUGAUAACUUGGAUGAACCACUUAAAAGUGUUCCGGGAACUGAAACAUUUCUCCGGCGACGUGAUCUACCGAGCUUUUGCCGCUCCGGCGACUUAACAGAUUCAUAUAUCCAGCUCCUCAAAACAGAGGGUCAAGAAAAUUCACGAGCUCAUGGCUUAAUACUCAACACAUUCGAAGAAUUAGAUGAACCCAUACUCAAUCAAUUGCGAACAAUUUGCCCAAAUCUCUAUCCAAUUGGACCGCUCCACGCGCAUUUAAAGAAGAAACAAACUACAUUGCGACCAUCAUCAAACAGUUUGUGGGCAGAAGACAGAACUUGCAUCGAUUGGCUAAACGAUCAGCUACCCAAUUCAGUAAUUUACGUUAGUUUUGGGAGUAUCGCGACAAUGACGAAUGAUCAAUUGAUCGAAUUUUGGUACGGAUUGGUUAACAGUGGGCAGAAAUUUUUGUGGGUAAUCCGACCGGAUUCCAUCGCCGGAGAAGAAUGGAGAUCAAAGAUUCCGGUGGAUUUAGCGACGGGGACGAAAGAAAGGGGAUAUAUAGUGGAGUGGGCUCCACAAGAAGAAGUAUUGGCCCAUCCCGCGGUAGGUGGGUUUUGGACUCAUUGUGGAUGGAAUUCGAUUCUCGAGAGUGUUUAUGAGGGGAAGCCCAUGAUUUGUUGGCCUUAUUUUUUUGACCAACAAGUGAAUAGUAGAUUUGUUGAAAAAGUUUGGGGAAUUGGGCUUGACAUGAAGGAUACAUGUGAUAGAGAAAUUGUUGAGAAAAUGGUGAAGGAUUUGAUGGUAUUGAGAAAAGAAGAGUUUUUGGGAAGAGCAAAUCAUAUGUCUAAAUUAGCUAAGAAUUGUUUGAUGGAAGGUGGAUCAUCUUACUCUAAUUUCGAUCGUCUCGUGAAGGAUAUUAAAUCUUUAAGUGAUAAGGUUUAAGCGUCGUUGAAAUGACAGUUCGUUUCUUUUUCAAGGAGAUAAAAGUUGUGCAACCCUUUAAGACAUAUAGAAGUUUCAAUCGUUGUUAGAAUCACAAGGAGAUUUAUUAUGUUAUGUACCUGACUUUCUCAUCGAGUGUUGUUUUAGAUCUUCUUAUUCAAGAAGACACUUUAAUCUUGCUUUUGAAAUUGUACCUUUUGUUUUUAUUUCCGUUGGGUUAUACAAACAUAGUGUGUGUUCUAGAAACAACAAAUAAAAUGAUACUUGUAUUAUAUUAUCUAUAUUUAUUGAAAGUCAUCUAAAUAUUGAGAAAUGAAUUAAAAAUGAUUAGUUAAUAAUAAAGGUAAGCUAGGUAUAAAAUAGUGAUUUAACUCUUAGAUUUAUAAAAUUAGACAAAUAAAUAUGGAUAUUUAUUUUGUUUAGUGGAUGGAGGAAUUAAUCCAUAUGCUUGUAUGCAGAGGAGGAGUGACUACUUUAAGUGUUCAUAACUGAUUCUAAACUUAAUAUUUAUAUAUAAUUAAUUAACACAAAAAAUACUGACUACUAUAUGAGCUUCUAAUUCUGCCCCUAAUUGAUGGUUUACUAUAUAAUGUAGGUGUUGGCCGCUGACUGCUAAAUAAAAGUGCAAGACUAUAGAAUAUGGUAAUUGCUAGUAAUAUACAAAUUAUUUUAUUUAUACUAUAGAAGACAGAAAAAUGUGACAAAUAGUAAAUCAUAGAAGUUUGAAAACAAACAAGUCGUUGUAGUAUAGUGGUAAGUAUUCCCGCCUGUCACGCGGGUGACCCGGGUUCGAUCCCCGGCAACGGCGUAAUUAUAAUUUUUAAAGAUAUGUCAUUUUUUUUGGAAGGGACUAGAAUAAAUAUGAAUUUUUAAAAUAAUAACUAUAGUUAAAUCACUUUUCAAUUUUGGAUCGGACUAGAAUAAAUAUGACUUUUUAAAAUAAUAACUAUAGUUAAAUCACUUUUCAAUUUUGGAUCGGACUAGAAUAAAUAUGACUUUUUAAAAUAAUAACUAUAGUUAAAUCACUUUUCAAUUUUGGAUCGGACUAGAAUAAAUAUGACUUUUUAAAAUAAUAACUAUAGUUAAAUCACUUUUCAAUUUUGGAUCGGACUAGAAUAAAUAUGACUUUUUAAAAUAAUAACUAUAGUUAAAUCACUUUUCAAUUUUGGAACAGACUAGAAUAAAUAUGACUUUUUAAAAUAAUAGCUAUAGUUAAAUCACUUUUCAAUUUUGGAUCGGACUAGAAUAAAUAUGACUUUUUAAAAUAAUAACUAUAGUUAAAUCACUUUUCAAUUUUGGAUCGGACUAGAAUAAAUAUGACUUUUUAAAAUAAUAACUAUAGUUAAAUCACUUUUCAAUUUUGGAUCGGACUAGAAUAAAUAUGACUUUUUAAAAUAAUAACUAUAGUUAAAUCACUUUUCAAUUUUGGAUCGGACUAGAAUAAAUAUGACUUUUUAAAAUAAUAACUAUAGUUAAAUCACUUUUCAAUUUUGGAUCGGACUAGAAUAAAUAUGACUUUUUAAAAUAAUAGCUAUAGUUAAAUCACUUUUCAAACAUUUUUGUUCGUGCUAGGGCUUUCAGAUUGAAUGUCACAAUUCUUAUUUAUAUUUUACUUUUUAUAAGUACCGUUGGGAAAUCUGUAUGGUAUGCUUGUAUACCAAUAAGUUAUUAUGAAGAACCUGAGAUCUUUGGCCAAAUUUUUUUAGAUGCAACGACGUAACUAUUAUAUGCCUACGAUACGUGAAUAUGAUGGAAUACGAUUGUAAUGACUUUUCGUUGGUAUGCAGUUGGAUAUCAUCUCAAAAAUCAAACUUCUUAGAAUUAUUUACAAAAUAAUAACCAUUAUAUUCUCCACACAUAUAUAUUCCCAUAUAGAGAAGGGAUAUUAAUUAAUUACAACAAGGUGUCUACUAAUAAAGUGUUAAAAUUAGUGGGACAAACCCAUUUACAAAAUUGGCUUAAGGUCCUGCCAAUUACCAUAAAGACAAACCAACAAAAUAAAACAAAAAAAAGUUAACUAAUUAAGUGUUGAAAUGGGCCUUGACUAAAAAGAUAAUCGGUGCAUGCACUAAACUUCUGCUAUGCGCUGAGUUCGAAAAAAGGUUGAACCACUUUGCAUAGGGAAAAAAGCAAGGCCUCAAUAGUAUAAUGAUCCUGUGGGACAAAAAAAUAAAUAUAUAGUUGAGUUUUUUUAUGACAUUGCUAAAAGAAAUAAUUAAUCAUAGAAAUAAUUAUUCUUUUCUACAAAAUUUAAUUUCCAUACCUUGCCACCAAUUUCCUCUUGAAGCACAAUUUGAAUUGUUUCCAUUUUGAUCAUCAUCUUCUUCUACAUUUUUCUUGAACUGAUCAAGUCAUGAACAUAAAAGAAACUAUUUAGAAAUUGAAAAACAAACAACUACUACACGACAGAUUCAAAAUUUUCACUGAAGAAGUUCGAAAAAAAAAACAUAGUGCUACUACAUUAAAAAUAAUCUUUAGCGGUAAUUAAUUAACAGUUGCGUUAAAUAUGUAUUUUUAGCCAAAGAACAGGACUAUUAGUCCAACUUGAAGAUUCACAUCUUCUAAGACUAAAAUCUCCAAAAGAUGAUGUCUUUUGGGAAACAACAAUCGAGUACUAGUAGUUAGGUUCAAUUGACAAUUUUGUGAAUGUACACACUUCUUAGUCUUGUCACUUGUGUGUCACAUGGCUCGAAUAAACUCGAAAUCUCAUUCACAACUUGACCCCUUCAAGUUGUUCUAUAGGGCAAGUUGAUGCGAAAACUAGCACGGAUCCCAAAAAAAAAGUCAGCACCAGUGAAAAUGACAUAUUUACUCAACUAUGAGCCACUAAAUUGGGAAAACAAAAUAGAUGUUGAAUGAAUAGUAUGGUUCUCUGUUUAUGUGGAUACUAGUUGUGAAUUGGCCUAAAAUGACACUUUUAUUUACUUAAUUAUGUCAUCAACAUGUCAUGUGUCUGUAUCUGCUCUGAUACCAUGUGUUCAACAACGUCUGAUUAUGUCGAUUGAUCAUGUUGACAGGGUCUUGAUCCAAGGUCUACUGCUGAUAUGUUCUCCGAUUCGAUCUGCAUAGGUGAAAAGCCAGUGCAUGGUGAAGAUUGCUUUGUACUAAAAUUUGAAGCAGAGCCCUCAUCUCUAAAAGCAAGAAGUAGUAGCAAUGUUGAAAUUAUGAGACAUACUGUUUGGGGCUAUUUUAGCCAAAGAACAGGACUAUUAGUCCAACUUGAAGAUUCACAUCUUCUAAGACUAAAAUCUCCAAAAGAUGAUGUCUUUUGGGAAACAACAAUGGAGUCAUUAAUCCAAGAAUAUCGAACAAUCGAUGGUGUUAACAUAGCACAUGCUGGCAAGACAUGUGUUUCCUUAUUCAGAUUCGGCGAAAACUCAGAAGGACAUACAAGGACUAGGAUGGAAGAAGUUUGGACAAUUGAAGAAGUUGAUUUUAACAUAAAGGGACUAUCUUUGGAUUGUUUUUUACCACCAAGUGACAUGAAAAAAGAUGAUGAUCAAGAAAUUAUUAGUGAUGAUGAUGAUAUAAACAAGAAUUCAAGGCUUGAAUCCAAGAAUAUUACUCAUCAUGUUAAUAAUCCUAGAUUUAUAACUGCUAUAAAAGGUGCAGCCAAAAUUGUUGCUAUUGAUCAAGAUUCAGAGGACUAGUAUUGAGGCAGGGGAAGACUUGUAAAUAUGUCUAUGUUGCUCUGACUCUUCAAAAAUGUUCGACGUGUCAUGUGUGCGUGUCUGAUCCUCUAAAAGUACAUUUUUGGAGAGUCUGAUUAACAUAUAAGUAGAUAAGUAAUAAUAUUCUGUGAUCAUUUUUGUACAUAGAGAAUCAUAGGAUAUGGUUUUUUUUUUGUUUGUGUAAAGUGUUUUCAUAUAUACAUACACAUCUAAGUAACUUUGGUUUGAUAGUGAAUUUACUAGGGUUGUAUAAUUGUAUAAUAUACUUUGAUAAUAUAAAGAAUUUUUAUGCUAUCAAUGUUAUUUUACUUGAUCGAGUAGGUUUUUCUUAAUUAAUUUCACUUAUUAUAGAUCAUUACAUGUUAUUAUUACUCUUAUGAAAUCUUAUGUGGACUAUGGGUAUAUAAAAGCUGAACUGUAUAGAUCUACGACGUUGGUUACGAAUUACAAUUCAUGUGAACCUAAGUAACUUUUGUUUAGACUCUACAUAUAAAUAGAAAUUCACUAAAUAUUCACAUAUAUUUAACUGUGAAUUCAAUUAUUAUUAUAAUAUUAACUUGAAUCCGUUUAUGAUUAUUUAUAUCUUGUAAAAUGACUUUCAUAUCCCCUACACUUGUUUAAGUGGAAGGGUCUUCGAUAUUUCAAAGAGAAGUAUUUAGUACGCUUUGGAGGAUGUGAUUUGUAGUUUAGAUUCUUAAUACGUUAUAAUGAAAAAUGGUUAUAUUUGCUCCUUAAUCAUGUAAAAUGAAAUAGAUUUGUCCUCCAUUAAUAGUUAGGUUAAAUAAGCACUCAUCUUUAUAAGUCGGGAUCAAAUUUUCCCUUAUUUUAAAAUGAUUUUAAACAAAGGGUAAAGUUUGAACUUUUCACAUAAUUCAUGGUCAAUUUUAACUAUUUCACAUCGUUUAAAAGCAAAUUUGAUCAUUCCCCCCAAUUUUUAGUUUUUCUUUUUUUGGGUUUAUCCUUUCUCUUUUUACCGCUAUUGUUCAAGAUUGACUAUGUUAACAGAUUGAAACAGCGAAAUAAUAUUAUUUGAAUGCAUAUGUAUCUGCAUAGAGAUCUUUGUUAGAAAAAGUGAUUUGGCGAUAGAAAUAAUGGUGCAAACACAGAAAAGAUAUAUUAAAAAAAUCAUAGCCACUUGGAGAUUAAUUUAUUUUUAUUAAUAGUAUCAAAGUUCGAUUUCACUACCUACCUGCCUACCCCCUUUCCAAUGAAAAAAAACAGAGAUAAUAUUUCUUAACUCUAUCAACUUGACAAAUACUUUCAUUUUAAUUUAUUUAUUCUAUUUUUCUUUAUUUUAUGUUACAUGUUUAAGAUUAUAACAUUAAAACAUAUUUUGAUAUAUUCUAUAUAUUUUUCUUUGAGAGAGAAGAAUUGAAAACACGCCUUAAACUCAGCAUAAAUUAUUAGUUUUAUCUCGAACUAUUAACAGCCUUAAAAAUAUUCAUUUUUCUUGACUAACUGAACUUAAAUACACCCCCAAUUUUACAACAUAAGUGAAAUACACUCCAAAAUUCUCACAAAGUUAAGACGUGUCUUCAACACUUCUCUCGGCUUUUUAUUAAGAGUCGUCAUGCUUCUACAAGUGUUUGAAACCACUUGUUAUGUCGAGUGGCGGAGCCAGAAUUUUCAAUAAGGGGGUUCAAAAUCCGAAGGGGUAAAACAUAUGAACUAGUCGAAGGGGGUUCGACAUUUAUUAUAUACAUCUAAAAAAUAAUUUUAACCAUGUAUAUAUAAUAAUAUUUUUCGCCUAUCAGGAGUGUAUCUAAAUUUAAUUAAUCAAAUAAAUGAGUGUCGUCAAAAGUGUCAAUUAUUUGGAAACGAAACUAAUAAUUAACUGCAAGAGUUUUUCAAUACUUAUCUUUGUAUUUCAUUACUUUUUUCCUAUUUUGCUGAACUCUAGCUAGUCAACAAGUUCCAAUUUUUUGUAAAACAAGAUCACCAUUAUUGAAACUCUUAACAUUAGCCUACCAUGGAUGAACAAGAAUCACUUCCUCCUCAUGUACUCAUUUUCCCUUUACCAUUACAAGGCCCUGUAAACUCAAUGUUCAAACUUGCUGAACUCCUCUGUUUUUCAGGCUUACAUAUCACCAUCCUUCUCACUGAAAACAUUCACAAUCGUCUCGUUCUUCACACUGAUAUAACUUCAAGAUUUGAUCAAUGUCCUGGUUUUCAAAUCAAGACGAUAUCGGAUGGAUUACCAGAUGAUCACCCUCGAGAUGGAGGAAAGUUUAUGGAGGUUUUUGAGUCUUUGAGGACUAAAACAAAGACUCUGUUUAAAGAUAUGUUGACUUCUGAUUUGCUCUGUUUUGAUCUUGAUGGGAAAGAAAGACGACGAGUUAGUUGUAUUAUAGCUGAUGGAAUUUUGGGAUUUACUUGUGAUGUUGCUGAUGAGAUUAGUGUACCUAUUUUUUGUGUUCGAACUAUUAGUCCGUGUUGUCUUUGGAUCUUCUUUUGCCUUCCUAAACUCAUUGAAUCCGGAGAAUAUCCUUUCAAAGGUUAGUAUAUGAUUGUUUGAACUUGAAUAAUGCAAAUUUGUUAGUGUUGGGAUUGGGUUGGUUGAUCGUCUUGAAAACGAUUAUUGUUAUCUUAUGUGUCAGGUUUGUAUGUAACCACGCUCUUGUUUGUUACUUUAAGUACUUUAGGGAUGAUGUUUGUAGUCGUAUUAGUGCUUUGAUGGGGAAAUUUGUUAAGAUUCGCUCAUGAUUCAUGAUAUCAUUGUUGUAGCUUAGGAUUUGUGUAAUUGCUAGAAUUUUAUGUUCGUUUAUGUAAAGUUAUUGAUAUUGAACUCAUUUAGUAUUGAGAUUUUAGAUUUAAAAUUUAGUAUUUGUUGAAAUUUUAGUGAUUUUUUUGAAUGGAUGGCAAAUUUGUUACUAUGGCUCUUGGUCUCUUUUCGCCUUCUCAUACCGUUAUUAGGUAUGGUUGGUAACGAAGAAGGCCUAACUCGGUUGAAGUGUAAUGAUCUGUAUGUUAAGAUCCACUCAUGAUUCAUGACAAAUUUGUUUGCAGUCAUAUUAUUGUUUUGAUGGGAAAUUUGUUAAGAUCCACUUAUAAUUCAAGAUAUCAUUCUUUUGAGUGUUGUAGCUUAAGAUUUGUGUUAUUGCUAGAAUUUUAUGUCCGUCUAUGUAACGUUAUUUGAUAAUGAACUUAUUUACUAUUGAAAUUUUAGUGAGUUCUAGAAUGGAUAGCCUUUUUGUUACUAGGGCUCUUAGUCUCUUUUCACCUUCUCACACCGUUAUCAGGUAUGGUUGGUAACGAGGAAGGCCUAACUCGGUUGAAGUGUAAUGAUCUGUAUGUUAAGAUUCACUCAUGAUUCAUGAUAUCAUUCUUUUGCGUGUUGUAGCUUAGGAUUUGUGUAAUUGCUAGAAUUUUAUGUUUGUCUAUGUAAAGUUAUUGAUAUUGAACUCUUUAAGUAUUGAGCUUUUAGAUUCAAAAUUUAGUAUUUGAUGAAAUUUUAGUGAUUUUUUUGACUGGAUGGCCUUUUUGUUACUGUGGCUCUUGGUCUCUUUUCGCCUUCUCAUACGUUUAUUAGGUAUGGUUGGUAAUGAAGAAGGACUAACUCGAUUGAAGUAUAAUGAUCUGUAUGUUAAGAUCCAUUCAUGAUUCAUGACAAAUUUGUUUGUAGUCGUAUUAGUGUUUUGAUAGGAAAUUUGUUAAGAUCCACUUAUAAUUCAUGAUAUCAUUCUUUCGCUUGUUGUAGCUUAGGAUUUGUGUUAUUGCUAGAACUUUAUGUCC